rnacentral:rRNA from 1 species
AUUGAACGCUGGCGGCAUGCUUUACACAUGCAAGUCGAACGGCAGCGCGGGCUUCGGCCUGACGGCGAGUGGCGAACGGGUGAGUAAUACAUCGGAACGUGCCCAGUAGUGGGGGAUAGCUCGGCGAAAGCCGGAUUAAUACCGCAUACGACCUGAGGGUGAAAGCGGGGGAUCUUCGGACCUCGCGCUAUUGGAGCGGCCGAUGGCAGAUUAGCUAGUUGGUGGGGUAAAGGCCUACCAAGGCGACGAUCUGUAGCUGGUCUGAGAGGACGACCAGCCACACUGGGACUGAGACACCGCCCAGACUCCUACGGGAGGCAGCAGUGGGGAAUUUUGGACAAUGGGCGAAAGCCUGAUCCAGCAAUGCCGCGUGUGUGAUGAAGGCCUUCGGGUUGUAAAGCACUUUUGGCGGGAACGAAAAGGCCUGUGCCAAUACCACGGUUCGAUGACGGUACCCGCAGAAUAAGCACCGGCUAACUACGUG